rnacentral:misc_RNA from 1 species
AAGUCGUAACAAGGUCUCCGUUGGUGAACCAGCGGAGGGAUCAUUACCGAGUUAUCAACUCCCAAACCCCUGUGAACAUACCCAACGUUGCUUCGGCGGGACCGCCCCGGCGCCUCGGCGUCCCGGAACCAGGCGCCCGCCGGAGGACCCAAACUCUUGUUUAACCAUAGUGGCAUAUUCUGAGUCUCACAAGAAAAAUGAAUCAAAACUUUCAACAACGGAUCUCUUGGCUCUG